CGGAGGAUGCUAAGCGUUAUCCGGAUUUAUUGGGUUUAAAGGGUGCGUAGGCGGAUAAAUAAGUCAGUGGUGAAAGUCUGCAGCUCAACUGUAGAAUUGCCAUUGAUACUGUUUAUCUUGAGUACAGCUGAGGUGGGCGGAAUAUGACAUGUAGCGGUGAAAUGCUUAGAUAUGUCAUAGAACACCGAUUGCGAAGGCAGCUCACUAAACUGUUACUGACGCUGAGGCACGAAAGCGUGGGGAGCAAACAGGAUUAGAUACCCUGGUAGUCCACGCCCUAAACUAUGAUCACUCGAUGUUGGCGAUACACUGUCAGCGUCUAAGGGAAACCAUUAAGUGAUCCACCUGGGGAGUACGGUCGCAAGACUG
rnacentral:rRNA from 1 species